rnacentral:rRNA from 1 species
AGAGUUUGAUCCUGGCUCAGAACGAACGCUGGCGGCGUGGAUAAGACAUGCAAGUCGGACGCUAAUCGUCGGGUAGCAAUAUUCGACGGUUGGAGUGGCGUAAGGGUGCGUAACACGUGGGUAAUCUGCCGCGAAGUCGGGGAUAACUCGCUGAAAGGCGAGCUAAUACCGGAUGCGAUCAUCGGGGGACAUCCUCUGAUGAUUAAAGUUGGGGACCGUAAGGCCUGACGCUUCACGAUGAGCCCGCGGCCUAUCAGCUAGUUGGUGAGGUAACGGCUCACCAAGGCUAAGACGGGUAGCUGGUCUGAGAGGACGACCAGCCACACUGGAACUGAGACACGGUCCAGACACCUACGGGUGGCAGCAGUCGAGAAUUUUUCACAAUGGGCGAAAGCCUGAUGGAGCGACGCCGCGUGGGGGAUGAAUGGCUUCGGCCCGUAAACCCCUGUCAUUUGCGAACAAACCUCGUUAUUUAAAAGAUGACGAGCUGAUUGUAGCGAAAGAGGAAGGGACGGCUAACUCUGUGCCAGCAGCCGCGGUAAUACAGAGGUCCCAAGCGUUGUUCGGAUUCACUGGGCGUAAAGGGUGCGUAGGUGGUCGUUUAAGUCUGAUGUGAAAUCUCUGAGCUCAACUCAGAAAUGGCAUUGGAUACUAUUCGGCUGGAGGGUUGGAGGGGGGACUGGAAUUCUCGGUGUAGCAGUGAAAUGCGUAGAUAUCGAGAGGAACACCAGUGGCGAAGGCGAGUCCCUGGACAACUCCUGACACUAAGGCACGAAAGCUAGGGGAGCAAACAGGAUUAGAUACCCUAGUAGUCC